UGCCUACACAUAGAUAAUCAAGGGCAA
rnacentral:piRNA from 1 species